UACGUAGGGUGCGAGCGUUUGUCCGGAAUUAUUGGGCGUAAAGAGCUCGUAGGCGGUUUGUCGCGUCUGCUGUGAAAACCCGAGGCUCAACCUCGGGCCUGCAGUGGGUACGGGCAGACUAGAGUGCGGUAGGGGAGAUUGGAAUUCCUGGUGUAGCGGUGGAAUGCGCAGAUAUCAGGAGGAACACCAAUGGCGAAGGCAGAUCUCUGGGCCGUAACUGACGCUGAGGAGCGAAAGCAUGGGGAGCGAACAGG
rnacentral:rRNA from 1 species